GAACGACAUGAGGGUAAAUACGUUUCCAAUAACAGAAGUGGUGGAUUCGCGCACACAGCCUGACUCAUGCACCCACCCAGGUGCCUCACACAAUUUUCUCUCCAGUUUAGCUCUCUUCAGAUUAUACUCGCAGCUGUACGGGUUCAUUUUUCAUACCAGCUCUGGAACAUGUAAUGCAACACUUCCAGUGCAGACGCCCUGGCGGAUAAUCACAGGGCUCGAGACUGUGAAUUUUCCAUCAACAUAGAAUGCCCUAGAAUGAUUAGUCACAUGACAUUUAUGGCACAGGUGAUUGGCUCAG